CGGUUGGAAGAACGCGGGCUCCGGCCUGAAGCGGUGCAUGCUGGAACUUGUAGUGCUCAGAGCUCAGCUGUUUUGAUCUGCGUAUGCUUAAGGAAGAUUUGUUUUUGCCCAUGAGAAUACAGACUACCUUCGCUAUUCACAGGGUUAUUCGCGGACAUGCGCAGAGUGAAAAUUUUAACCAGCAGUGGGUUGUACCGAAGAUGGAUCCCACAAUCCGCUGUCUUGCUUCAGCUCUUCUAGUGUAAAUAAAUAUCUUCACAGCCUCUUCA